GCUCUUGGUCUCUUUUCGCCUUCUCACACCGUUAAUAGGUAUGGUUGGUAACGAAGAAGGCCUAACUCGAUUGAAGUGUAAUGAUCUGUAUGUUAAGAUCCACUCAUGAUUUAUGACAAAUUUGUUUGUAGUCGUAUUAGUGUUUUGAUGGGAAAUUUGUUAAGAUCCACUUAUAAUUCAUGUUAUCAUUCUUUUGCUUGUUGUAGCUUAGGAUUUGUGUUAUUGCUAGAACUUUAUGUCCGUCUAUGUAAUGUUAUUUGAUAUUGAACUUAUUUACUAUUGAAA
rnacentral:lncRNA from 1 species